rnacentral:rRNA from 1 species
UACAGAGGGUGCAAGCGUUGUUCGGAAUUAUUGGGCGUAAAGGGCGCGUAGGCGGUCACGCACGUCCGUUGUGAAAUCGCUCGGCUCAACUGGGCGGGGUCAGCGGAUACGGCGUGGCUGGAGCAAGCUAGGGGGCAAUGGAAUUCCCGGUGUAGAGGUGAAAUUCGUAGAUAUUCGGAAGAACACCAGUGGCGAAGGCGGCUCACUGGCCCGGUACUGACGCUGAUGUGCGAAAGCGUGGGGAGCAAACAGG